rnacentral:rRNA from 1 species
AUACCAGCCCCGCGAGCGGUCGGGGUGCUUACUGGGCCUAAAGCGCCCGUAGCCGGCUCGACAAGUCCCCGCCUAAAGCCCCGGGCUCAACCCGGGGAGUGGCGGGGAUACUGUCGGGCUAGGGGGCGGGAGAGGCCGAGGGUACUCCCGGGGUAGGGGCGAAAUCCACUAAUCCCGGGAGGACCACCAGUGGCGAAGGCGCUCGGCUGGAACGCGCCCGACGGUGAGGGGCGAAAGCCGGGGGAGCGAACCGGAUUAGAUACCCUAGUAGUCC